GGAUCAAAAAAAAAUUCAUACCCACACCACGCAGGAUUUGAACCCUGGAUCGUCGAUGUAGAAGCCUGAUACGUUACAACUGCGCCACCGUUACACUUGGUAGUCGCCGCAACUACAAUCUACUUUAAGGAGAACGAGAUCUAUAAGUGUGCAAAGUUUCAACGAAAUCGAUGAGACGAAGGCCUUGCACUCUCCUUGUAAGUGGGCACGGUUUCGCCAAAAGAUGGGUUACCGUGUGCUGUUGGCAACUAAAUAAGCGGAUAGUGAAUAUGAAUAAAAAUGGAUAAAGAGAAAAAGGUAGAUGAAUGGAGAAAAGAAGAAAUGUAAAGAGUAUAAAAGAAGUAAAAAGAGAAUAAUGGAAAAAAAACUAUGGAUGAUUUGAUAUAAUCGUACUAAACUAUGUACGGUGCGGAUUUAGAGAAAAAAUUUAAAAAGGCCGCUGAUGUUCAUUGGGCAAGAGAGGAGGAAAAAACCUCCUGUAGAACGCCAUCUUGGGCUUCGCCCAAGAAAAGUCAAGAACAAAAAAAAAAAAA